AAGAAACGUUGUGGACACAACUACAGAACACUCAACGUAACACAUUAUGUUUUCAAUGCAUUUUUUAUUUCUGAAGAAUGAUGUAUAAGAAUGCAUUAAUCAAUUAAUUAAGAAAUCAUGUGCGUUACGGGGCAACAUAGUGGUUAAGUGACACGUUUAAUUGCUGUUUCAGGUCUGUGUUAGAAGGGUAUUUUGUGGGAAUAGACGAUCUUUGUUUACGUUCGUCUCACGUACCGCAAAGGCUGCUGGUAGUAACCAGCCGUCAUGUAUAGCUCGUCCCCGCUGCGUCUUUUGGAAUUCUAGGGUGACCAAGGAAGGUCCCGCCUUUCUCGCCUCUGAUUGGCUAGAUGGGCUCUACUACGAUUGGCUCUUUCAUUUAGCAGCAAACCGUUUUCCCUUGCUAAGUGCAGACUGUCCUCUUGCCCGAGUUUUUUUUAUAUAUAAAUAUUUUUUUUAGAAAAUAAGAACUUGGCGCCAUUCUGUCCUGUUUUGCAAACGUUUUUUGUUUCAUUGAUUAAACACUGAAAAACGUAAGAAGUGAACUUAUAAAUCUUGUAUUUAUCACACUGUGGGACUUACUUUAUGUCUAUGGCUCUAAAGCAUUGAGGUUAUCUUAUUACAGCAGAGUACAUAGGAUACACCUGUGUGCCUGACCUGGGUAUGACAUAUAAUAAAACUGCCCUAUUUUACCCAGCUGUGCGCAGCAGGUCUGUUUCUCGUCUGGAAUAAUGAAAACUGCUGAAAAUAGGUCUAAAUCAUAAUCAGCUUUGAAUUAAUUUCAAUUAAAUAUACAGAUUUAAACACAUGAAAGAUGUGUCCUCACUUUCAUCCUGCUUGCUUAACAGCCUCAACCUAUGAAAGUAUUUCCAAAUUGUUAUCAAAAGGCAUGAUCAUGAAAAUACACCACCGAUUACAUCACAGAUUUUAUUGAACAAGUACAGAACUAUGGAACUAGGAUUGGGACAAUAUUCAGCGUAACUUGUACCAAGUUUUGUAACUGCAAACAUGUUUCAUCACAUGUAACUUUGGAUUCGUAACUUGUAACUUUGGAUUCGUAACUUGUAACUUUGGAUUCGUAACUUGUAACUUUGGAUCCGUAACUUGUAAUUCUCAAUUCGUACUUGUAUUCUUGUUUUGUAACAGGAACAUUGUAUUUUGUACAUGUAUUUUUUAUUUUGUAAAAGCAAACAUUCAUUCAGAAACAUGAAACUUUUGUUUUGUAACUAGCAGACUUCCAAACUGAAAAAAUCUAAGUACAAGUUUCAAAUCAAAACUCACAAAACACACAUUUCAUUCUACAGGUACAAACCUCACAUCCUACAGUGUUACGGAUCAUUUUGUCUCGAUUCUAGCGCCAGUGGGAGGAACUUGGGUGGAACCAAUGAGAGCACGACUCUUAGCUACCAAUCACGUUUCUCGAAUUCCUGUCCAAUCACUGGGAGAGGAGGGCAGGGUUUUGUCAGAGCCGUAAAGAGUUACGACACUCCAAGACUCCUAUGGAAUGGGGAAGUCACGUGGUUCACGUAGUGUCGAAUAGUUCCAAACAGCCCCGCUGCUGCAUUGACUGCAGUUCAUUUCAACUAUUCGGUGUUUCGGAAGGAUUUUCUCCGAACAAGGCUAUCCCAGCAUGCUUUGCGCGUCGGCUGUGGAUUUUCAACAGGCAGAGAAAGGGGAGAGCUAUGAAGUUUUAAACGACUGCAGGUGUCCAGGGUCAGGAGAGGCUUUACCUGUCCUGGGAGAGAGGCCUUCUACUGUCAUCAUGUUAUUGUUAUUUAGCUGUUUGAUAUUUGAACACAUUUAUUAAAACAAAUACUAACUGAGAA